AUUCUGCUCUGACACAGGUGUGCAACAUGUGUGUGUUGUACCUAAUUUUGCUGUGUGUGUGUGUGUGUGUGCGUGCGUGCGUCUGUCUGUCUGUCUGUCUGUCUGUCUGUCUGUCUGUCUGUCUGUCUGUCUGUCUGUCUGUCUGUCUGUCUGUCUGUCUGUCUGUCUGUCUGUGUGUGUGUGUGUGUGUAGGUAAGGUAGCAGUGCAGAAAGAAGACCUCCAGAGGUAUCAUGGUAAAGACACCUGGUUCCCCCUGAGACACGUCAGCGCAGACUCAGAGGUUCAGGGAAAGGUCCACAUAGAGCUCCGUCUCAGUGAGGUCAUCACAGACAGCGGAGUCGUCUGUCAUAAACUGGCCACACGUGUGUUGGAGUGCCAGGGCCUGCCCAUCGUGAAUGGACAGUG